rnacentral:ncRNA from 1 species
AUAAAGACACUGAUUGGAAGAGUAGCCUUAAUAAAGUUUUCAGAGACAUGGUCCUUGGCUGGAAGACCAUCAACGGACUUGAGGUAAAAAUCAUCCAUGAGUCGGAUAUCAGAAAAGAGUAAGAUAUCCCGUGAUAAGCGUUAAUUAUUCAAGCGGCAGGUUUUUUUGACCUGCAACCUGGGUGGUACCGCGGAGAGUUUCGUCCCUGAU